GUGCUUCUUCCAAAAGGUUCAAUUUGGCAUACAAAUUGAUAAGGGCGAAUGGUUAAAAAUGUUUCGGAGUGGUAUCCAUUUCAACGAGAAGGUUACAAGUCUGAGCCAAGAAACACUUGAGGAGCUCAUAAUAGGUGUGGCAUCAGACUUGAAUCAACAUCUUUCCAUGACAUUGCAUGACUCAAUUCCAUGACAUCCACCUUCUUCCAAAACGAUAUGUUAUCUUUGACAAUAACCACAAUCUUGAGGUGCCGACGUUCAUGUCGAAAAUGUAAGGAACCUCGGCGAUGUUGUCAACCUUGUGCAAGACCUUGCAGUCGGCUAGGAGGAUGCACUUGCCGGUGAUGAAAAGCUACAGUCUUCCGGGGAUGAUGAGAUGAAAGUUGGGGUCUUAAAAAA
rnacentral:lncRNA from 1 species